rnacentral:precursor_RNA from 12 species
CAACACUAGAUAAGGAAUGGUUCUGCGUGGACUCGAAUACCAGUCCUGAACAAUAAAUUGAGUUUGUUCGGACUGGUGUUAGAGACGAUGCAUAAUCGCCCUGGAUGCACAUCAUCU